rnacentral:rRNA from 1 species
UACGGAGGGAGCUAGCGUUGUUCGGAAUUACUGGGCGUAAAGCGCACGUAGGCGGCUUUGUAAGUUAGAGGUGAAAGCCCGGGGCUCAACUCCGGAAUUGCCUUUAAAACUGCAUCGCUAGAAUUGUGGAGAGGUAAGUGGAAUUCCGAGUGUAGAGGUGAAAUUCGUAGAUAUUCGGAAGAACACCAGUGGCGAAGGCGGCCA